GGGUGCUUGCCAGUAGAAUAGACUCUUAUCAGGCUUGAUCUUUCUGGUCUAGCUCUGCACUGAUGUCCCUGCCUGAACUUGCACCUUCUUCACUUUCUUCUUCUUGUUCUUCUUCCCUUUCUUAAAAGGUCGAGAACCAGAAGACGAAGCUCCCACUAAGUUCACCGACUCCUUGUGAAGUUGGUGAUCCUUCUCAAAGUUCUGAAGUAACCCCAGUAACCUGUGGUAGUUCUCUUCAGGCUUUGUCAUUCUAUAAUGAGUGAGGAAUGGGAGAUAAGACUUGGGCAGCGAGUUCAGUAUUGCAUCUUUCCCAAGCUGCUCAUGCAAGGGAAAGCCGAGCUUGCUCAAUCAUUCCAUCAGCUCGAUCAUGUACAAUACAUGAUCAGUGACAGAGGCACCAUCUUGCAUUUUGGCGUUGAAGAUGGUACAACUAGUCUUGUGCCUCUCGACGUCAUCGGAUGUGCCAAAGGCAUCCUCCAACACUUGAAGCAUGUCCUUUGGCUGAGC
rnacentral:lncRNA from 1 species